rnacentral:rRNA from 1 species
ACUUAAAUUGAAGAGUUUGAUCAUGGCUCAGAUUGAACGCUGGCGGCAGGCCUAACACAUGCAAGUCGAGCGGUAGCACAGAGAGCUUGCUCUCGGGUGACGAGCGGCGGACGGGGGAGUAAUGUCUGGGAAACUGCCUGAUGGAGGGGGAUAACUACUGGAAACGGUAGCUAAUACCGCAUAAUGUCGCAAGACCAAAGUGGGGGACCUUCGGGCCUCAUGCCAUCAGAUGUGCCCAGAUGGGAUUAGCUUGUAGGUGGGGUAACGGCUCACCUAGGCGACGAUCCCUAGCUGGUCUGAGAGGAUGACCAGCCACACUGGAACUGAGACACGGUCCAGACUCCUACGGGAGGCAGCAGUGGGGAAUAUUGCACAAUGGGCGCAAGCCUGAUGCAGCCAUGCCGCGUGUGUGAAGAAGGCCUUCGGGUUGUAAAGCACUUUCAGCGGGGAGGAAGGCGGUGAGGUUAAUAACCUCAUCGAUUGACGUUACCCGCAGAAGAAGCACCGGCUAACUCCGUGCCAGCAGCCGCGGUAAUACGGAGGGUGCAAGCGUUAAUCGGAAUUACUGGGCGUAAAGCGCACGCAGGCGGUCUGUCAAGUCGGAUGUGAAAUCCCCGGGCUCAACCUGGGAACUGCAUUCGAAACUGGCAGGCUAGAGUCUUGUAGAGG